rnacentral:lncRNA from 1 species
AUCAGUCCUGCCAACUUGAAUGACUGGGUCUAUGAAUAGAAGUGGUCAAAGCAGGGGUCCCCUUCAGCAGUCUGAGGAGUCCCUGGACACAGCUGUUCAUUCCACUGACUUGGAAAGGGUAGGGUAGAUCAUUCUUUUCUAAAGUGUAUUUACCAAUAAAGCCUUUGGAAUUGGGGGGGGGGAAGAAAAUCAGCUCUGAUACA